CUUGAUGAUGCAGAUGACCUCUGGGGCCUGGAUCCUCUUUGGCAUCUGGAAUGCCAUUGGAUUUGCCAUAUACUUUGGAUAUGGGGUCCGACACAGCUUGGAGGAGAACAAUGAGCCACCAGCCUCCACCUCCCAGACUCCGGACUAAAACACCCCUAGUGAUGAAGCAUCUUAGCCAAAGGAAAUAGAUGCUGUGUGGACCCCUCCAUACACUGGAGGUAUCCGCUGGUUCAAGGUGCACUUUGAGCCUCUAUGGACUGUGCAAGUGGAAAGCAUUUAGUGCCCUGUAUUUAUUGCCAGUGGACAAAAUGACUUUGCUAUUGUAUAAUUUUUAAGUAAACUCUCUUAAGCUUAAUAUGCAUCAGAAGAUUGCAUGCUUCAUAAGUGUGUAGUAAGAUGAAUCUUCACAAAGAAAGUAUUAUGAUGUUACUGACAACUAGAGGAAGAAAUAAAAUACUAGCCUACACAG